GAUGAACGCUGGCGGCGUGCUUAACACAUGCAAGUCGGACGGUAAGGCCCUUCGGGGUACACGAGUGGCGAACGGGUGAGUAACACGUGGGUGAUCUGCCCUGCACUUCGGGAUAAGCCUGGGAAACUGGGUCUAAUACCGGAUAGGACUCCUGCCUGCAUGGGUGGGGGUGGAAAGCUUUUGCGGUGUGGGAUGGGCCCGCGGCCUAUCAGCUUGUUGGUGGGGUGAUGGCCUACCAAGGCGACGACGGGUAGCCGGCCUGAGAGGGUGACCGGCCACACUGGGACUGAGAUACGGCCCAGACUCCUACGGGAGGCAGCAGUGGGGAAUAUUGCACAAUGGGUGCAAGCCUGAUGCAGCGACGCCGCGUGAGGGAUGACGGCCUUCGGGUUGUAAACCUCUUUCAGCACAGACGAAGCGCAAGUGACGGUAUGUGCAGAAGAAGGACCGGCCAACUACGUGCCAGCAGCCGCGGUAA
rnacentral:rRNA from 1 species